GCGCCCGUAGCUCAGUUGGAUAGAGUGCCUGACUACGAAUCAGGAGGCCAUAGGUUCGAAUCCUGUCGGGCGCACCA
rnacentral:tRNA from 1 species